ensembl:snRNA U6 U6 spliceosomal RNA
AAAAAUUAUUUAAGUGCUAAAAUCCUAACAGUCCAGACAAGAUUAGCUUGGCCCCUACAUGAGGAUGACACAAAAAUUCAUGAAGGGUUCCAUAGUUUU